rnacentral:rRNA from 1 species
GACGAACGCUGGCGGCGUGCUUAACACAUGCAAGUCGAACGGUAAGGCCUCUUCGGGGGUACACGAGUGGCGAACGGGUGAGUAACACGUGAGUAACCUGCCCCUGACUUUGGGAUAACAUCUGGAAACAGGUGCUAAUACCGGAUAUGAGCUCUCUCUGCAUGGGGAGGGUUGGAAAGCUCCGGCGGUCAUGGAUGGACUCGCGGCCUAUCAGCUUGUUGGUGAGGUAGUGGCUCACCAAGGCUCCGACGGGUAGCCGGCCUGAGAGGGCGACCGGCCACAUUGGGACUGAGAUACGGCCCAAACUCCUACGGGAGGCAGCAGUGGGGAAUAUUGCACAAUGGGCGGAAGCCUGAUGCAGCAACGCCGCGUGCGGGAUGACGGCCUUCGGGUUGUAAACCGCUUUCAGCAGGGACGAAGCUAACGUGACGGUACCUGCGGAAGAAGCACCGGCUAACUACGUGCCAGCAGCCGCAGUAACAC